CCAGACUCCUACGGGAGGCAGCAGUGGGGAAUAUUGCACAAUGGGGGAAACCCUGAUGCAGCGACGCCGCGUGAGUGAAGAAGUAUCUCGGUAUGUAAAGCUCUAUCAGCAGGGAAGAAAAUGACGGUACCUGACUAAGAAGCCCCGGCUAACUACGUGCCAGCAGCCGCGGUAAUACGUAGGGGGCAAGCGUUAUCCGGAUUUACUGGGUGUAAAGGGAGCGUAGACGGCAGUGCAAGUCCGGAGUGAAAGCCCGGGGCUCAACCCUGGGACUGCUCUGGAAACUGUAAAGCUGGAGUGCGGGAGGGGCAGGCGGAAUUCCUGGUGUAGCGGUGAAAUGCGUAGAUAUCAGGAGGAACACCGGCGGCGAAGGCGGCCUGCUGGACCGUAACUGACGUUGAGGCUCGAAAGCGUGGGGAGCAAACAGGAUUAGAUACCCCCGUAUAG
rnacentral:rRNA from 1 species